GAUGAACGCUAGCGGCAGGCCUAAUACAUGCAAGUCGAACGGUGUCUUCGGACAUAGUGGCGCACGGGUGCGUAACACGUAUGCAACCUACCUUACAUUGGGGGAUAGCCUUUCGAAAGGGAGAUUAAUACCGCAUAAGACAGUAGCUGGGCAUCCAACAGCUGUUAAAGAUUUAUCGAUGUAAGCUGGGCAUGCGUCCAAUUAGCUAGUUGGUGAGGUAACGGCUCACCAAGGCAAUGAUUGGUAGGGGAACUGAGAGGUCAAUCCCCCACACUGGCACUGAGAUACGGGCCAGACUCCUACGGGAGGCAGCAGUAGGGAAUAUUGGGCAAUGGACGCAAGUCUGACCCAGCCAUGCCGCGUGCAGGAUGAAGGCGUUAUGCGUUGUAAACUGCUUUUAUACAGGAAGAAACGACUCUUGCGAGAGGCAUUGACGGUACUGUAUGAAUAAGCACCGGCUAACUCCGUGCCAGCAGCCGCUGUAAGAC
rnacentral:rRNA from 1 species